UACGUAGGGUGCAGGCGUUAAUCGGAAUUACUGGGCGUAAAGCGCACGUAGGCGGUCUUUUAAGUCGGGGGUGAAAUCCUGGAGCUCAACUCCAGAACUGCCUUCGAUACUGGAAGACUUGAGUCCGGGAGAGGUGGAGUGGAACUGCGAGUGUAGAGGUGAAAUUCGUAGAUAUUCGCAAGAACACCAGUGGCGAAGGCGGCCAACUGGUCCGGUACUGACGCUGAGGAGCGAAAG
rnacentral:rRNA from 1 species